AACGAACGCUGGCGGCAGGCCUAACACAUGCAAGUCGAACGCUGUAGCAAUACAGAGUGGCAGACGGGUGAGUAACGCGUGGGAACAUGCCCUUCGGUUCGGAAUAACUCAGGGAAACUUGAGCUAAUACCGGAUACGCCCUUAGGGGGAAAGAUUUAUUGCCGAAGGAUUGGCCCGCGUCCGAUUAGCUAGUUGGUGAGGUAACGGCUCACCAAGGCGACGAUCGGUAGCUGGUCUGAGAGGAUGAUCAGCCACACUGGGACUGAGACACGGCCCAGACUCCUACGGGAGGCAGCAGUGGGGAAUAUUGGACAAUGGGCGCAAGCCUGAUCCAGCCAUGCCGCGUGAGUGAUGAAGGCCCUAGGGUUGUAGAGCUCUUUCGCCAGGGACGAUAAUGACGGUACCUGGAUAAGAAGCCCCGGCUAACUUCGUGCCAGCCGCCGCCGUAAAAC
rnacentral:rRNA from 1 species